CAGUCCCGCGCUAUGGAUACCCUGGUGCACUUGGAAACCAUGCUUCCCUUCCCCCAUGGGCCGCAUCAAUAAAGAUACAGGAUCUCGCUCGCAAGUUCUCCUCUAAUAACCUUGGGUGUUCAGAGCGUUGAACACUGCGGGUACUCGAGUCCAAAUAGACUCAACUCUGGGAUUUUUUGUUUCCUCUUGCUUGAGGUGGCUGAGCAAUUCGUUACUGUGUAUAGAUUAUUAGGCAGAAGCUCGCUAUUACAUUGUAAAGUUCCUGUCAAGUCUAGAUACUUAAAGGUUCUUUCACAGUUGCAUAGAGACUAAAAUGAUACAAGUUUCGUAUUUGUGGCACACUUGAAAACAAUGUUGUCCAUGUGAAAUGGCUGGUUUGAAAAGGGCYUUUUCCAUUUCCUAGCUUUUGCUCCAGAUCUUGGGUUUAAUAAUGACUUUCUCAUUUGUGGUUUCAGAAGCUUUGCGCAGUCAUGGUUGGAAAUACCUGGAAUUCAGUAUGUCUUAUAAUGCCCUUGUCUUUUUUUAUGCUGUUUAGGUUUCCCAGUGACUUAAUAUUUAAAAUGUUGAACAUGUGAAGAAUCAGACUAAGAUGAAGAAUCACGCCUAAACUAUAAGCAAUGUUCAAUUUCCUCAGAAUGAAAAUGCCUUAUGCCAGAGGAGCUAAAGUGUGUUGGUGCUUGUCAACUGUGUAAAUACACUUCAUGAAUCUUGUGAAAAGUUUGUGAUCUGGGAUAAACAACUUGAGGGAAGAGCUGCUUGUAAUUUGAUCUGUCUGCAGGAAACCAGCAUAUGCAAGGAACUGGGACUUGGUGUAAAACAUCAUGAUGUGGUGAGUGGUUGAUAACUGAUACCAUCUUGGGUAACUUCCCAUGUGCUCUGCAAUAUCCUACCUUGAAAAAGGGUUUGAGACAAGUAAUGSCUAAAACUACACAGCUUCACUGUUCAUGUUUAGGUAAGUAUCUAGCCAUUUGGUUGAACUGAGAUUUCAUAAUAAAACUUUUCUAGUCUGUAUUAACUAAAAUAAAACAUGAAUUGCUAUCC